UACAGGGGGGGCAAGCGUUGUUCGGAAUUACUGGGCGUAAAGGGUUCGUAGGUGGCCAACUAAGUCAGACGUGAAAUCCCUCAGCUUAACUGGGGACUGCGUCUGAUACUGGAUGGCUUGAGUGUAGGAGAGGAAUGCGGAAUUCCAGGUGUAGCGGUGAAAUGCGUAGAUAUCUGGAGGAACACCGGUGGCGAAGGCGGCAUCCUGGACCGGUAUUGACGCUGAGGCGCGAAAGCCAGGGGAGCAAACGGG
rnacentral:rRNA from 1 species